AUUGAACGCUGGCGGCAUGCCUUACACAUGCCAGUCGAACGGCAGCACGGGUGCUUGCCCCUGGUGGCGAAUGGCGAACGGGUGAGUAAUACAUCGGAACAUGUCCUGUAGUGGGGGAUAGCCCGGCGAAAGCCGGAUUAAUACCGCAUACGAUCCACGGAUGAAAGCGGGGGACCUUCGGGCCUCGCGCUAUAGGGUUGGCCGAUGGCUGAUUAGCUAGUUGGUGGGGUAAAGGCCUACCAAGGCGACGAUCAGUAGCUGGUCUGAGAGGACGACCAGCCACACUGGGACUGAGACACGGCCCAGACUCCUACGGGAGGCAGCAGUGGGGAAUUUUGGACAAUGGGCGAAAGCCUGAUCCAGCAAUGCCGCGUGUGUGAAGAAGGCCUUCGGGUUGUAAAGCACUUUUGUCCGGAAAGAAAUCCUUGGCUCUAAUACAGUCGGGGGAUGACGGUACCGGAAGAAUAAGCACCGGCUAACUACGU
rnacentral:rRNA from 1 species